GAUGAACGCUGGCGGCGUGCCUAAUACAUGCAAGUCGAGCGAACAGACGAGGAGCUUGCUCCUCUGACGUUAGCGGCGGACGGGUGAGUAACACGUGGAUAACCUACCUAUAAGACUGGGAUAACUUCGGGAAACCGGAGCUAAUACCGGAUAAUAUAUUGAACCGCAUGGUUCAAUAGUGAAAGACGGUUUUGCUGUCACUUAUAGAUGGAUCCGCGCCGCAUUAGCUAGUUGGUAAGGUAACGGCUUACCAAGGCAACGAUGCGUAGCCGACCUGAGAGGGUGAUCGGCCACACUGGAACUGAGACACGGUCCAGACUCCUACGGGAGGCAGCAGUAGGGAAUCUUCCGCAAAGGGCGAAAGCCUGACGGAGCAACGCCGCGUGAGUGAUGAAGGUCUUCGGAUCGUAAAACUCUGUUAUUAGGGAAGAACAGAUGUGUAAGUAACUAUGCACGUCUUGACGGUACCUAAUCAGAAAGCCACGGCUAACUACGUG
rnacentral:rRNA from 1 species